rnacentral:rRNA from 1 species
GAUGAACGCUGGCUACAGGCUUAACACAUGCAAGUCGAGGGGAAACGACGGGGAAGCUUGCUUCCCCGGGCGUCGACCGGCGCACGGGUGAGUAACGCGUAUCCAACCUGCCUCUGACUGAGGGAUAACCCGUCGAAAGUCGGCCUAAUACCUCAUGGCAUCGUCUGCGGGCAUCCAACGACGAUUAAAGAUUUCAUCGGUCAGAGAUGGGGAUGCGUCUGAUUAGCUUGUUGGCGGGGUAACGGCCCACCAAGGCGACGAUCAGUAGGGGUUCUGAGAGGAAGGUCCCCCACAUUGGAACUGAGACACGGUCCAAACUCCUACGGGAGGCAGCAGUGAGGAAUAUUGGUCAAUGGGCGAGAGCCUGAACCAGCCAAGUAGCGUGCGGGAUGACGGCCCUAUGGGUUGUAAACUGCUUUUAUGCGGGGAUAAAGUGAGGGACGUGUCCUUCAUUGCAGGUACCGCAUGAAUAAGGACCGGCUAAUUCCGUG